rnacentral:rRNA from 1 species
GAUGAACGCUGGUGGCGUGCCUAAUACAUGCAAGUCGAGCGAAUGGAUUAAGAGCUUGCUCUUAUGAAGUUAGCGGCGGACGGGUGAGUAACACGUGGGUAACCUGCCCAUAAGACUGGGAUAACUCCGGGAAACCGGGGCUAAUACCGGAUAACAUUUUGAACCGCAUGGUUCGAAAUUGAAAGGCGGCUUCGGCUGUCACUUAUGGAUGGACCCGCGUCGCAUUAGCUAGUUGGUGAGGUAACGGCUCACCAAGGCAACGAUGCGUAGCCGACGUGAGAGGGUGAUCGGCCACCCUGGGACUGGGACAGGGCCCAGACUCCUACGGGGGGCAGCAGUAGGGAAUCUUCCGCAAUGGACGAAAGUCUGACGGAGCAACGCCGCGUGAGUGAUGAAGGCUUUCGGGUCGUAAAACUCUGUUGUUAGGGAAGAACAAGUGCUAGUUGAAUAAGCUGGCACCUUGACAGUACCUAACCAGAAAGCCACGGCUAACUACGUGCCAGCCGCCGCCGUAA